GCCGUUGGUGGUAAUAACGUCAUAACGUGCUGUAAUCCGAGGAAUUAAAAAAUAUCGAAUUAUCAUAAAUUGUAAUGCUCUAAUCUUUAAUUACAUUCACAAAACAUUAUCUAUUUUCGUCGUUGGACGCAAUAAGGAAACGUGCUUAUCAGAAGAAUAAUUAUUAACAAUCAAUAUUGACACUCGUACUCGACAAGCGAGCAAAGUACAAAAUUAUUCGUAUUUCUUUUGAUUUUUACAAAAAUUAUCAUUAGAAUUAUCAUAGAAUUAAAAUUAGAAUUAUCUACAAGUUAAAUCAAUUAUAGAUUUUCUUUAAAAAUGUGUACCUUUGCAAAAUUAAUAUUGAUAAUUUUUAUUCAGAAACAAUUCUAACCUAGAUAUAUACAAAUAUAUAUAUAUAUAUUUUUAGAAAAUAUUCUAUACAAGAAAUUGUUUGAUAUUUAAAAGUAAUUCGAUUUUUCAAAGAAUGAGCUUUUUUUGAUAAGAUUUGUAUUUUAAAAAUUCAAGCUAUAUACAAUUCAUGUGAAAUACAUUUAAUACAUAUAUACGUGCCUUCAAUAUUUCGAUUUUUAAAAAAAAUUAUCAUUAGAAUCAUCAAUAAGUUAAAUCGUUAAAGAUUCUUUAAAAUUACAUGUAUCUUUGACAAAAUUAAUUGAUUUUUAUUCAGAUAGAAAUUCUAAUUCUAAUCUAGAUUUUACAAUUUUUUUAUCAUAUAGAAAAUAUUUUAUACGACAGACAUUAAUGUUUAAAAAUAAUUAAUAAUGAAAUAUUAAAAUCAAGAAAGCAUUUUUGAAAUUUCUUUCGAAAGUUAAUAAUUAGUAACAUAGAAUUUCAAAUUUGAAUUUUUAUUGAUCUCUUUUUAUUUAAAUAAUUUUUUUUCACAUAAUUCUUACAUUUUUUUAAUAUACUAAAUAAUAAAAUUAAAAAAGACAUUAGAUUCGACAAACAUGACUGGCGAACAAGGCCAAAUCCUAUGUCGUCAUAAUUACGAGCAUACAUGGUGAUUUACUUCUGUCGUUGAUUACACAAAUUAUCGAACUUCGAAGGUGAAAUGAUCAUCCAUUCUCUGAGAAACACUUUGCAUAAGAAACAAAAGAAAGGAAUAAGAAAAGAAGAAAUUCGACGUGAUCGGAAUUAGAUGUCGAUCGUGAGUUGCAUCAUCAUCGAAUCUUGGGAAUACCUAUUUUUUUUUAUUUUUUAUUUUUCGUAAGUCGAUCAGUGAAAGCUCGUUUCGAUAUCACGAAAUCGAGCCUGGAAGAUCGCUCGAACGUGAGCAAAAUUGAUUAGAUCGUGGUAAGUAUCGAAAAUUGUAAAUCAGGAAAAGAGAAAGUGCGAAUGUAAACAAUAAAGUGGAAGGAAGGAAUAAGGUGAAUUUUCGAUCGACGAUUUUCGAUUAUUUUUGUUUGAAACUUUUUCAUUUUUUUUUCAUCAUCUAUCAUUUGAUUAUACUAUAAUAAUUUAUAUUAAAUUCUCUUAUAAUUAAUAUUUAAUACUUUUCUAUAAAUUAAUUUCUUAGGAUUUUAGGUUUCAUUUAUAUUUAUUUAAUUGCUGUGAUUUCUUAUUGACUUUCUUAUUGAAAUUUUUAUUUACAUACGACAGAUCGAAAUCAGUAAUAUAAAAUCCAAUAAUGUGGGAAAAAGUCAAAUUAUAUUUAAUUCUACUUGCUUAAACAAUUUUUUUGUUUAAAAUCUCUUAAUGUUAAAUAUUUUCAAUUGAGUCAAUCAAAAUCUCAUUUAAAUUAAUAAAUAAGUAUGAUCAAAGAUAAUAAAAAUAAAUAUUAAGAGUAUUAAUAAUAAAUUAUUAAGAAUACUUUAAUAUAGCUUAAGUAUAGCUAUUAAUAAUGAUACAUAAUUAUUUUUUUUACUUACCAAAAUUUCCAAAUGCAAUUCCUCAAAAUUAUCGAACUGAUUUUAAAUUAUAGAAGAAGAAAAAACUAACUAAGAAUGUAAUUUUACAAAAUUUUGUGUGCAAUCUGUGGAAGACGACGCAGUACUGCAAUAUCUAUUUUAUUCAAGAAAUUAAUAUUUCUGAAAAUUGAUUCUCGCAAUAUUUAUUUAAAAGAAACUUCGUUAAAAAAUUAUGAUUUAUUGAAAACGAGCUUUACAAAUAUUUGAACUAUCGAGUUCGAGUUAUAGACGAUAUCUUUGUUACCGGAAGUUUGCAAUGUCUCAUUGACAGUUGAGAAAAUUGAAAACCUGGCGAAUCUUUAAAUUUCAACGAUACAACGAAAAUGUGAAAGAUCAACGAAGUGAAAAUAUUUGGACGUUUAUCGAAAUGUUUGAUUGUCUAACUAUAUGUAAUACCGUUUGCAUAGGUUGCAUCUGGGUCGCUUUGUUCUCCAAAUGUUUUCCAAAUUUGAUUAGCAUCAGAAGAGCCGAUUCGAGCGAGUGCUGCAAUUGGAAAAAACCAAAAGCCGAAGAAAAGAUUUCACGCAUUGUUCAAUGUUGUUUAAGCUCUACAGAGGCUCUUAUGCUUCAAACAUCUUGUCAAUCUAAUUACGAUGAUUUACAGAAUUAUAAAUAUCAAGUACUGAUGGGAGAAAAGGAAAUAUUAUAAAAUUAAAAAGUUAGUUAUAUGAUAUUAUAAUUAAUAAUGGAAAAUGUUCAAAUAUUCGAAUUAUUAUUGACAUAUUCUUUAAUAAUAAAAUAUAACCAGAUGAUAACGAGCAGACUGAAAUUGCAAAAAAAAAAGAAAAUUUACAAAAUUUGUGAACGAAGAAGACAAAAUAUUUUUGCCGAUUAGAAAAUGUCGAAAGUGUCGAAUAACUACAAAAUUAAUUAUCUGUACAUCUUAUUUCAUAUCCAAAAGCUGUAAAAUAAAAAUAAUUGAUAGGAAAUAUUCAAAGUGAAUAAUAUAUAUCCAUUGUCCAUAUAUAUUUGUAAUAAUGAUGUAAAGAAACGAGAACAAAUUAAAAAUAUAUUAAAUUUA